ACACGUAAACAACCUGCCUUCAGGAUGGGGACAACAGACGGAAACGACUGCUAAUACCGAAUAAGUUCCAAGAGCCGCAUGGCCCAUGGAAGAAAUGGUGGCCUCUACCUGUAAGCUAUCGCCUGAAGAGGGGUUUGCGUCUGAUUAGCUGGUUGGAGGGGUAACGGCCCACCAAGGCGACGAUCAGUAGCCGGUCUGAGAGGAUGAACGGCCACACUGGAACUGAGACACGGUCCAGACUCCUACGGGAGGCAGCAUG
rnacentral:rRNA from 1 species